GAUGAACGCUAGCGGCAGGCCUAACACAUGCAAGUCGAGGGAGAAGCCCUUUCGGGGGCAGAAACCGGCGCACGGGUGCGUAACGCGUAUGCAACCUACCUUUCACAGGGGGAUAGCCCGAAGAAAUUUGGAUUAAUACCCCAUAAUAUUAUUGGAUGGCAUCAUUUGAUAAUUAAAACUGCGGUGGUGAAAGAUGGGCAUGCGUCCUAUUAGCUAGUUGGAGUGGUAACGGCACCCCAAGGCUACGAUAGGUAGGGGUCCUGAGAGGGAGAUCCCCCACAUGGGUACUGAGACAGGGACCAGACUCCUACGGGAGGCAGCAGGGAGGAAUAUGGGUAAAUGGUCGGAAGACUGAACCCGCCAUGCCGGGUGCAGGAAGAAAGCCUUUUGGGUUGUAAACUGCUUUUAUAUGGGAAAAAUAAGGUGUACGUGUACAUUGAUGCCGGUACCAAAUGAAUAAGCAUCGGCUACCUCCGU
rnacentral:rRNA from 1 species